UACGUAGGGCGCAAGCGUUGUCCGGAAUUAUUGGGCGUAAAGAGCUCGUAGGCGGCUUGUCACGUCGGGUGUGAAAGCCCGGGGCUUAACCCCGGGUCUGCAUUCGAUACGGGCUAGCUAGAGUGUGGUAGGGGAGAUCGGAAUUCCUGGUGUAGCGGUGAAAUGCGUAGAGAUCGGGAGGAACAUCAGUGGCGAAGGCGGCUCUCUGGACCAGUACUGACGCUGAGGCACGAAAGCGUGGGGAGCAAACAGG
rnacentral:rRNA from 1 species